UACGUAGGGGGCCUAGCGUUGCCCGGAUUUAUUGGGCGUAAAGGGCGCGUAGGCGGCUCGGCACGUCCGUUGUGAAAUCGCCCGGCUCAACUGGGGAGGGUCACGCGAUACUGAUCGACUCGAAGCAGGAGAGGGUAGUGGAAUUCCCGGUGUAGUGGUGAAAUGCGUAGAUAUCGGGAGGAACACCAGUGGCGAAGGCGACUACCUGGCCUGUUCUUGACGCUGAGGCGCGAAAGCUAGGGGAGCAAACGGGG
rnacentral:rRNA from 1 species